CAACGAGUUGCGAACUCGCGAGAGUAAGCUAAUCNCUUAAAGCCGUUCUCAGUUCGGACUGUAGGCUGCAACUCGCCUACACGAAGUCGGAAUCGCUAGUAAUCGCGGAUCAGCAUGCCGCGGUGAAUACGUUCCCGGGCCUUGGACACACCGCCCGUCACACCAUGGGAGUUUGUAACACCCGAAGUCAGUAUCCUAACCGCAAGGGGGGAGCUGCCGAAGGUGGGAUAAGCGACUGGGGUGAAGUCGUAACAAGGUAAC
rnacentral:rRNA from 1 species